UCUAAUAAAAAAUGUAACCCGUUUUACAUAACUAUUUUUAUUUGAAUAUCAUUCUUUAAUACUAUGAAUAACUGUUCUAACCAUGUUUGUUGUCAGAAAGGACAGUUUCCUGUAAGAGAUCAUAUCACAGAUGUCGGGUGUUUAAAUCAAUAUCUGUAAAACCCACAUCCAUCCAGAGAGAUGGAUGGCAAUGCGGUGAGAAAGACCCCAUGGAUGGACUGACCCUGCCACAGCCACCUGGACCACCAUCACCCCCUCCUGUCCCAUCAUAAUCAGAAAGGCGACAGACAAUCCUGACAAUCCCACACUGUAUUUGAGGAGGUGUCAAACAGGGGAAAAAAAGCUAAACAAGUCUGAGAAAACAUGAGGGCAAGCAAACAAUGACAGAAUGUUCAUUUUUGGCCAAACUAUCCCUUAAAGCUCCAGUUGAUACCCUGUGGCUUCCUGAUCCUUUGAUACAGCAGAGGAAAAGCUCCCAUCCAAAGGAUUUUAUUGAAAACAUGGACGGCGCUGCUCUCCCCAGGUCCGACACCAAAGACAUAAGCAGGACCGCUGAUUAGAGAGACAAGCCCCAGACUCCUGCUGUAAUGAGAUGCAAGCCCAUGCGUCAUGGCGCAGUCUGCCAAAACGUAAAACAAGACGACAGGCCAGUAACAUUACUUCACUCACUCUCUCUCUCUCGCUCGCUCUGAAUAAAAGAGCUGGCUGUGAGAUGUAAGAUCAUGGAUAGCCAGGUAGAGGUAAUGUGAUGGAGGCUCUUGCCAAGACACCGUACAGAUGUGGCUCUGGGGGCAAAAGAACUGUCUCGGCUUUCUCUGCUUCCGCUCCUGAGGGAAACAAAUUUCCUCUUCCAUCGCACUGGCUUUCUUUUCUUUCUUUUUUUUAAACCAGACUCUCUUGCCAGACUCAUGGACAACGGGUCAAAGACUUCGCUUGGGAACUGCUGCUGUUAGACACAAUCUGACAAGCAAAACAUGUCAACAAAGUCGAAAGAUCGAAAUUAUGAUGAUAACAGAAUGAUUUUAAUUAAAUUGCAAUGUUUUUAGAUAAAGAAAAAUCUAGAAAGUUAUUUGGUUGUUACUAGUAAUCCUAUCAUAAACGCUUGAGCUGUGUGAGCCGAAGCAGUGAAUGAACACCACUAAACUGAAAAGCUUUGCUAAAUGAUGUGAAUGCACAAGGGAAACUGUACAAAGUCAGAAUGUUAAAGGGUAUACGUACUAUGAAUGUGCACUUUUCAAUGUGCAUGUCAAAGGGAUAGUUUACAAAAAAAGUUAAAUAUGUCCUAAUUUACUCAAAUCAUUCCAUGCCUACAGUAUAAAAACAUUUGUUCAGCUUGAAAAACAAAUCAGAAGACUAGGAUAAAAGUGCUUGAUUUACAUUUAUUUUACAAUAUUUUUAUUACUGGGUUAAGGCAUUCAGUGUUUUGGGAAAAUAGAUUCUGAAUGGACAAACUGAAGUCUCAAACACCCCAUUUACACUGUCAGUUAAAUGUGACCCAAUUCAGAUUUUUUGCUCAUAUGUGACACAGAAAAAAAAAAAAAAAAACUCAUGCAUUCAGAUAUCAGAGAUCGGCCUGCUUCAUAUGUACUGUAAAAAUAAUAUAUGUGACGGAUAUGUGACAAUGCGACUAUCAUGUAAAGAGGCAGAUCGGAUUUAUUUCUAAUAUUUUAUUUUGUUUUGUACGUCAGUAAACUUGUGACAAUGUGGUACUUCUCCACGGUUUAAUGACAGAUGGAAGAG